GAGUGAAUGUGAAAGGUCUUAAUUGGUGUGAAGUGAUCCCAGCUGUGUGUUUGUGUUAGAAAGCCAGCAGAGGCCUUUGGGCUCACAGCUUCUUUCUUUGUUGAGCUCGGGUUGUGUUGCAUAAUGCGGCUCCUGAUCUUCGUCUGUGUGGUGACAGUUGUUGGUGGUGUUCCCAUCCAACCAACCCCGAAGGCCAGCAGUGUUGCUGCAGUUGGUGUCAUCCCUUCAUCUAAAACCCAGAAUGUGAUUAGUGGUAGUC